AUUUUGUAUAAAAGGAGAGAAGAAUAGCACUUCCCUCCUUAUUGUAAGAAUUGAAGAGGUCCUAAUGGCAUUUACAACACUCAUCUGGCUAAGGCAUGGUUACUUGGGUUACUUGGGAUAGGUCUGUUG